GGUUCUUAGCUCAGUUGGUUAGAGCGUUGGUCUUAUGAGCCGAAGGUCGUGGGUUCGAGCCCCGUUAGAUCCA